rnacentral:rRNA from 1 species
AGAGUUUGAUCAUGGCUCAGGACGAACGCUGGCGGCGUGCCUAAUGCAUGCAAGUCGCACGCAUCCACUUCGGUGGGUGAGUGGCGCACGGCUGAGGAACACGUGGAUACCUGCCCGACCGUGGGGGAUAACUCGGCGAAAGCCGCGCUAAUCCCGCAUACGAUUCUCACUCACGUGAGAAAGAAAGCAGUAAUGCGCGGUCGGAGGGGUCUGCGGCCCAUCAGGUCGUUGGCGGGGUAACGGCCCACCAAGCCGAUGACGGGUAGCUGGUCUGUGAGGACAACCAGCCAGACUGGGACUGAGAUACGGCCCAGACUCCUACGGGAGGCAGCAGCAAGGAAUUUUCCCCAAUGGGCGCAAGCCUGAGGGAGCAACGCCGCGUGGAGGACGACGGCCUUCGGGUUGUAAACUCCUUUUGGGGGAGACGAUAAUGACGGUACCCCCCGAAUCAGCCCCGGCUAACUCUGUGCCAGCAGCCGCGGUAAUACAGAGGGGGCAAGCGUUGUCCGGACUGACUGGGCGUAAAGCGCGCGCAGGCGGUUCGAGGCGUCGGUGCUGAAAGUCCACCGCUUAACGGUGGGAAGCGCGCCGAUACGCUCGAACUGGAGGGCGGGCGAGGGUGGUGGAAUUGCCGGUGUAGUGGUGAAAUGCGUAGAGAUCGGCAGGAACACCAGUGGCGAAGGCGGCCACCUAGCCCGCACCUGACGCUGAGGCGCGACAGC